UUAUAGUUUAGUGGCGACGGGUGAGUAACACGUGAGCAACCUGCCUUCGAGAGGGGAAUAACGGCUGGAAACGGUCGCUAAUACCGCAUAACAUACAGGAGGGACAUCCCUUUUGUAUCAAAGAUUUAUCGCUCGAAGAUGGGCUCGCGUCCGAUUAGGUAGUUGGUGAGGUAACGGCCCACCAAGCCGACGAUCGGUAGCCGGACUGAGAGGUUGAACGGCCACAUUGGGACUGAGACACGGCCCAGACUCCUACGGAAGGCAGCAG
rnacentral:rRNA from 1 species